GAGAGAUAGAUAUAUAUAUAGAUAGAUAGAUAUAUAUAGAGAUAUAUAUAGAUAUAUAUAUUUGGAACUUUUUAUUUUUGAAUUAGGACAACAACAUUUACAUGGAGAUGCAUUUGAGUUUCUUCUUCCCUUCUCCAGGGCAGUGUUUCCCUGAACAAAGUUCGAAUUUCCUUGUGGCCAUGAGAUCUAUCCAACUUAACCAAGUCACCAAUCAGUACAUAUAGUUCUGACAAGCUUUCUCUGUAUUCAUCGUAUCUGCUCUCUUCUACAUUCUACAUUUUACUUUGAUCUAGCUAAAUAACUCACCCAAAAGACAAAAAAAAAACAUAAAUAAAAAAAAUUAAAAUUAAUAAUAAUAAUUUUCACAUGAGAGUACUAUCUUUCCAACAUUUGUUUUAUUGGUUCCCAAAUUUUUUAAAUUUCCCUAGUCCCAGUCAUAGUCUUGCAUUAAUUUGUUCCAUUUUGUAGACCUGUCUAACUGUCUCUCCACUGUGCCACCCUUGGGGGUUCUGUGUCCAGCCAUAAAACUGUAAUACACUUCUUGGCAGUCAUAAGCAGAAUUCUGAUUACGUAUGUCUCCAUUAUGUGUGUAUGAUUUUUGGUACAGCAUUCCCAGUACAAACCAUUUUUACUUAAAUUGUAAUUUCACCUUCCAGGUUCUUUCAAUUUCUCCCUAACACCUUCCCAGAAUGGUAUGAAUUUAGGGCAGUCCAAAAGUAUAUGUGAAAAGUCUCCCACUAGCCCGCAUUUUCUCCAACAUAAAUUUGAAACGUUACUAUUUAGACAUGAUAAGUGGAGUUUUAAAGCAUGCAUCUUCACCUUCCAUUCAAAUUCCCUCCAAGACGGACUAUUAGUUAGUUUAUGGCCUGCUUCAAGUGUUUCCUCCCAUUCCUCAUCUGUUAUCAUUAUGUUCACUUCCAGUUCCCAUUUUUCUUUAAUAUCUAUAUUCUUAACAAUCAAAUCCUGUUGUAAAGCUUUAUAUAUUUUGAAAUCAGUCCUUUUUGACAUGUCCUUUCUGUUUAACAUAAUCACUUCCUCCAUAUUAAGUUUGUCCUUGCUUGAAACUUUUCCUUAUUUUGAAAUAACUACUCUGUCUGUCUGUCCUAAAUAACAUAUUAAGCAUGAAAUUACGAAUUAUUGUGAAAUUACACGCACAGGAAGUGCUUUUAUUUUGUAGCAUUUGCUCAGUCAGCUCUCGAAGCUUAUCAGCAGACCGAGAAGAAGAGCGAGGGUCGGAGGAGCAUUAACCGUCGGAGGUCGCGCUUUUGUUCUGCAUCUGCACUUGACAGUCACUGGUUCUGCACCACUGAGCUAAACAUGUGUAAAUGUAGAGCGUCUGCGUUCCUAUGAGCUGUCAGCCACACCGGGAAGCCUGUCUAUGAAUCUGCGGUCAGACUUCAAUGAUCCAACCCCACUCUCUGCACACAAGAUUGAUGGCAUGCUGCUGUUGACCCCCAAGAGGUUCAUACAAGUGAGACCACUGGUGAGUAAUUCUCACAAUCUGCAUUUUUGAUGACACAUCCUAAAUAACAUGACUAUAUAUGUAUGUAUGUAUAUAUGUAUACAGAUUUGUCUUUUAAAACUGGUGAAUAUACAAUUUACAGGUAAUGCCUUUAUGCUAUGAGUAUUAGAGCCACUGAUGGAAAAAAAAUAUAGAAUUCUGAGAAAAUAAGUCAUAAAUCUGAGUUUAAUCUCAGAGUUCUGAC